rnacentral:misc_RNA from 1 species
AUUCACCGAAACAAACCAUCAGUCAACGAACUUCACUCGAACAAAACGAAAAUGGCAGAUUCCACCAUACGAAUCGGAAUUGUAGGCUGUGCUGAAAUUGCACGUAAAGUGUCACGGGCUAUACUCCUUUCACAAACCGCUACUCUCUACGCCGUCGGCAGUCGUACAAUCGAAAAAGCCCAAAAAUUCGCCGCCGACAAUGGUUUUCCGGCGACGGCGAAAGUGUACGGUAGCUAUGAAGAAGUUGUCG